AUUGAACGCUGGCGGCAGGCCUAACACAUGCAAGUCGAACGAGUGGCGGACGGGAGAGUAAUGGCUGGGAAACUGCCCGAUGGAGGGGGAGAACUACUGGAAACGGUAGCUAAUACCGCAUACCAUCAGAUGUGCCCAGAUGGGUUUAGCGAGUUGGAGGGGCAACGGCUCACCAAGGCGACGAUCCCUAGCUGGUGUGAGAGGAUGACCAGCCAGACUGGGACUGAGACACGUGCCAGACUCCUACGGGAGGCAGCAGUGGGGAAUAUUGCACAAUGGGCGCAAGCCUGAUGCAGCCAUGCCGCGUGUAUGAAGAAGGCCUUCGGGUUGUAAAGUACUUUCGGCGGGGAGGCGUUACCCGCAGAAGAAGCACCGGCUAACUCCGUGCCAGCAGCCGCGGUAAUUC
rnacentral:rRNA from 1 species